rnacentral:rRNA from 1 species
CUGCCCAGUGACUAAGUUAAACGGCCGCGGUACCCUAACCGUGCGAAGGUAGCGCAAUCACUUGUUCUUUAAAUGAGGACUAGUAUGAAUGGCAUCACGAGGGUUAUACUGUCUCCCUCUUUCAAUCAGUGAAACUGAUCUUCCCGUGAAGAAGCGGGAAUACAUCUAUAAGACGAGAAGACCCCAUGGAGCUUUAAACUCAGUACCAACUGCCCCCUAAUACACCCUCCUAAUUAAGCAGACAUGACUACUAGUUUUCGGUUGGGGUGACCGCGGAGCAAAACAAAACCUCCACGAUGAAAGGAAUUAACCUCCUAAUCAAAGAGCUACAUCUCUAAGAAUCAACAAAUUGACAUUUAUUGAUCCAAUUUUUUUGAUCAACGAACCAAGUUACCCUGGGGAUAACAGCGCAAUCCAUUUCAAGAGCCCCUAUCGACAAAUGGGUUUACGACCUCGAUGUUGGAUCAGGGUAUCCUAGUGGUGCAGCCGCUACUAAAGGUUCGUUUGUUCAACGAUUAAAACCCU